rnacentral:lncRNA from 1 species
AUGGCUUGUGGGUGCAUCUCUGUCCCAGAAGUUAGGCAGGCAAGCAGCAGUGUGACACUUAUCAGCUAUCAAUGGCCAUUAAUGGUGUCUACAGAAACCUGGGGUAAUUAUCAGCCACAGGAAACUCACCUGCAUGACAAAUGGUUCCAGUCUGCUCUCUCUCCAGGUGCGGAAGUGAAAUUGUUAGGAGAAAGCUUUUCACGGUGUUUCAGGCAGACUUUGACCUAUUUAUUUUUAAUCCAUCGUUUGGCUCUGUCAUUUCGCUUUGCUGUCCUUAAUCCUGAGCUGUUCCUUUUGUUUCACCAGCUCACAAUUUUUGUGUGUGAGCAUCUCUGGAUUAAUCUUGCUUGCUUACUAUUUUGGGAGAAAGUGCGCUGCACUCCUCUGCUCCUUUGUGAGAUCUUCCAAACAGAAAUACAUUUACUCAGGACUUACAUGACGUGGAGAAGUCACCUCCCUUGGCUCACGAGUGGUUUCUACACUGUCUACACAACGCUUACACUCAAGAUUCCACCAGACCAAGAGCAGUAUGCUUCCAUAAUUUAAGAUCAUACUAAAGUAUAAUAGUUGAAUUAAAAAAAAGUAUUAAGAAAUGCCAAGGUAAGUGCUGUACUGUGAGAAAUUCAAGUUGACCUGUUUCUAUCAUCCUUUUCCUGCUUUAGUGGUGCCACUUAUACUUCAAAAUGCAGUCAGGGCCCUGAGGGCACUCACGGGUGUUAACUGCCUUGAGAAGCCUCACCUGGGGCCAGCACAGGGGUCAUGUGCUCCAUUUAAGCUCUCCAUUGUGAGUUUGCUCUGUUCCUGCCUAAGCUAUGCUGUAGGUGGGUCUGCCUUCAGCACAGCCUUUUGGAUAGGCCUUAAUAUCUCUCUGCAGGUAGCCCUCUUCCUGGAGGACCCCAUCAGGUGUCUGUUGCAGCUAAUGACCAGUUCUGGCUCUGCUUCCUUUUAUUCCUGGAUGGAGCCUGGGCCUGGUUUAUUCUUUGCAGCCUCUGAGGCAGCUAAAAGACCGUGAAUUUCUUUCUGCCUGCUAUUUUCAGAUCUUGUGGGACUGCUUGUGCUGAGAUUGCCCUUGGCUCCUGGCUUGUGUGCCCUUUGGGAACAGUGGCCUGCUGCUCUCUGACAAAUAUUUUGGAGUUAAGCCUGCUCUCAUUUAAGUUAGGGGAACAAGCUAGUAAUCUUUCCAGGGGGGGGUCCAGCUAUUUUUGGCACUUCACUUUAUAUUCACUCAAGCAGAGCUAUCCACAUGCACUUGCAGAUAAGGGCCCCAUGAGGAAUAUCUCUACUUAUAGCAUACAGUUCCUCUUUCUCUCUUAGGGUGGGGUUCAUGUAAGAUGACCAUCCUUCUAUUUAUUUAUUUAGUCUGCUAAGGGUUUCUUCAGCUCUACCUCCUCCUCAUGUCUGGAGUUUCCUUUUUGGAUGCUGUUGAGUUAGCAGAGGUGGGGAGUGGCAAGUAGUGUGUGAGCAAACAUGGGCUGUGCAUUUGUCAGCUCUCUUCAUGAUGUGCAUUAUAAUCCUGACCCUGCCCUGAGCUGUACUAAGGCAUGGG